rnacentral:lncRNA from 1 species
GAGGGCUUGUUCCCCUGCAGUAUCUGUUCUGUGAAGUUUGUUAAAUGUAAGGAAAGCUUAAAUUCUUGUAUCUUUAAAAGAGAAAAAUCUUAUUUAACCCUUUUGUGUUCUAGAUUUACUUACACACAUAGCCUAGAGCCCAGUUUUAGUUUUAACAUUGUGAAAAUAUUAAAUCUUAUAUCUUUUUUUUUUUUUCUCCUGCUGAAAAAAAAAAUUAAACCAAUCGUAUGACAGUCUGGAUUUCUCUGUUUCGCCGGUUUUCCUAAGUGCCACCUGGAUGACCAGGAAAAUAGUAAAAGGUCCCCCCGGGCCAGAGGGUGAACGAGGUGGAGGCUCUGUGGGGUGCUCACUCGUCCCUCAGAGUCCAGGCUCCGCAGCUGCUGCGCCGGGUUCUCUCGGGUGGCUCUGCCUCAGGUGACUCCGUGAUUAAGCCCGUGAACCGGUGCUACCUGCAAAGGAUUUGAACCUUGCCCGAGCCCGAGUCCCCUGCUCCUCCUGUUUCCCUGUCAGCAGUGAAUGCGCCGCCUGAGGAGGUGCUGAGUGGACAAGAAUGCCAGGCUCUAAUUGGCAACCAGGGGCUGGACGCUGAGGGAGGUGGUCACCCAUCCACGGUGAGCAAGCAAGAGGCUCCGUUUGUUACCAGAGCCCUCCUCCUACGGUGAAAAGCUGCCCCUCAACCCAGGGGUUCCACUCACCCCACACGGGGGGAUACAGACAGAGAUCAGAGUGAAGGGCACUGAGGGGGACCCGCAGAAAGACAACCGUCUGGUUUAUUCAUGCAGCUUGAAGCGACACUACCCCGGGACCGAUAAGCCACUCACAUCUAUGUAACACUGGGAGGAAAGAGCCGACCCACUGGCUCUUUGCACACCUAUGACCAAUGUGUGCUUAAGACAGAAAGAAAGUGCCCACCCUGCCUUAGGCAGGGUGCGCGGAGGGCCUGACGGCCGCAGCCGGCCACCGGGAGAAGCUGGGGAGGGGCUCUCAGAGGGCGGUUAGCGCUGGGCGGACAUCACUCAGACACGCAGGCCAGAUCAAGUGACAACUGUCAGAUUAGAUGGUCUCGGUGAGGAUUAAGAGGAAAGCUGCUUAGAACUGUUCCCCCCGCCCCCAUCCCCCCAAUCCCUGGCUGAGUAUUAUGGUCUGGGGGAAAAGCAGCAACCACUGAUCACCAGCGGGCGGGAGAGGCCCCUCUUGUAUUCCAGACCCUGACCAGCAGGAUGGCCGU